GAUGAAGAACGCAGCGAAAUGCGAUACGUAGUGUGAAUUGCAGAAUUCAGUGAAUCAUCGAAUCUUUGAACGCACAUUGCACCUCUCGGUAUUCCGGGAGGUAUGCCUGUUCGAGCGUCAUUUGUACCCUCAAGCUCUGCUUGGUGUUGGGUGUUUGUUCCGCCUCUGUGUGUGAACUCGCCUCAAAACAAUUGGCAGCCGGCGUACUUGUUUCGGAGCGCAGCACAUUUUGCGAUCCAGAUCAACGUACAGCGGCAUCCAAGAAGCCUUAUUUAACGCUCUUGACCUCGGAUCAGGUAGGGAUACCGGCUGAACUUAAGCAUAUCAAUAAGCGGAGGA
rnacentral:misc_RNA from 1 species